GGCCCCGUCGUCUAGUGGCCCAGGACACCGGCUUUUCACGCCGGCAACACGAGUUCGAAUCUCGUCGGGGUCA
rnacentral:tRNA from 1 species